AACGAACGCUGGCGGCAGGCUUAACACAUGCAAGUCGAACGGAUCCUUCGGGAUUAGUGGCAGACGGGUGAGUAACGCGUGGGAACGUACCCUUUGCUACGGAAUAACUCAGGGAAGCUUGAGCUAAUACCGUAUGUGCCCUACGGGGGAAAGAUUUAUCGGCAAAGGAUCGGCCCGCGUUGGAUUAGCUAGUUGGUGGGGUAAUGGCCUACCAAGGCGACGAUCCAUAGCUGGUCUGAGAGGAUGAUCAGCCACACUGGGACUGAGACACGGCCCAGACUCUUCCGGAGGCAGCAGUGGGGAAUAUUGGACAAUGGGCGCAAGCCUGAUCCAGCCAUGCCGCGUGAGUGAUGAAGGUCUUAGGAUUGUAAAGCUCUUUCACCGGUGAAGAUAAUGACGGUAGCCGGAGAAGAAGCCCCGGCUAACUUCGUG
rnacentral:rRNA from 1 species